AAAACAUGGGAAGCCUGAUGCUUCCCGUGUAUGAUUGAACCCACAAAGCAGCCUGGCAACAUAUAACCGGGUUGAUUCGGGUUCAUUUUUUU
rnacentral:sRNA from 2 species